rnacentral:lncRNA from 1 species
CACAGCCAGCAUUUAAUUUGGAAAGCAGGAAGGGGAGAAGGAGAAAGGGAGACAGAAAGUGUGGCAAUAUUUCCCAGUCCUCAGAGAUGCAGAAAAUUAAAAUACCUUGUGCAAGAAUGUACAAAUUUUUAGUGACUGAGCAGAACUCUUUUUCUUUUCUUUUUCUUUCCUUCCUUCUUUCCUUCCUUCCUUUCUUUUCUUUCUUUCCGAGACAGGGUUUCCCUGUGUAGCUUUGGAGCCUGUCCUGAAACUAGCUCUGUAGACCAGGCUGGCCUCUAACUCACAGAGAUCCAACUGCUUCUGCCUCCCAAAUGCUGGGAUUAAAGGCAUGCGCCACCAACGCCCAGUUUAGGAACGUCUUUUUCAGUUAUUAUUAUUACAAUUUGUGUGUGUGUGUGUGUGUGUGUGUGUGUGUGUGUGUUUGGAGGCCACAGGAAAACUUUCAGGAAUCAGUUCUCUCUGUCCACUACAAGCACUUGCACACACUGAGCUGGCCCCAGAGCAGGAGUUUAAACCCAGGAGUUCUUGUCCUACACUGAAGAGUGAAUGCCAUUUCCAUGAUAUUACCAGUAAAUUUUGCAUAAUGAUUAAGGCACAGCCUUGUCUUUUAAAAGUCUGACACUAAGUGGUUGUGUUUUAUCCUUGUGGCAAAUAAAACCUCCACUGGCUAGCCUGGAACUCACUGAUAGCCCAAGCUGCCCUUGAAUGAGAAGGAAUCCUCCUGCCUCAGCCUUCAAGUAUGAACUAUCUCACCUUGGCCCAGAGCCAAGGAGCAAUGUGCCACUUUUUUUUUUUUAAUAGAGGCACUCAUAUUUACGUAUCCAUCCCCCCAUUCCCUCGACCUCCCAUCCUCCCAUGUUUCUCACCAACCCCCCUAACCCAUCCCCCACCUCCUCCCCAGGGAUAAUGAGGCCCUCCACCACAUAUCAUUUGGGGGAGGGUCUAGGCCCUCUUUGCUGUAUCUGAGCUGCAACAGUAUCCCUCCAUAGGGAAUGGGCUCCCAAAAUCCAUUUGUGCUCUAGGGAUAAACACUGGCUCCACUGUUAGAGGUCCCAUAGACUGUCUUGGCCUCCCAGCUGGCACCCACAUUCAGAGGGCUUGGUUUGGUCCAAUGAUGUUUCCCCAGAUUUACGACUAGGGUCUCUGUGCUCUCACUUCGGCAGGUCAACUGUUUCUGCAGGUCUCUCCAGCACCGUCUUGGCUCCUUUGCUCAUCCCUCCUCCCUCUCCACAACUGGAUUCCAGGAGUAUGGUUCAGUGCUUAGCUGUGGGUGCCUGCUUCUGCUUCAAUCAGUUACUGGAUAAAGGCUCCAGGAAUUCUUUCAUCCACAAUUUCCAAACUCACAUUCAGGCUGCUUUGCCUCCAGCUUGCUAUUUUUCCAAGGAUUGUUGCUACUUGUCAUUCUGCUAAAUGUCAAGAUCAUGCUGAGCUGAAAAGGAGGCAGGGAAAGGCCCGAAGCCUCACACCAUCUGCUGUAGUUUCAAUGAGAAAUGUCUCCCAUGGGCUGAUGUAUUUGAAUGCUCGGUGCCCAGUUGGUGGUCCAAUAUGGAGAGGUUACAGAAUUGUUAGGAGGUGCAGCCCUCUACCUGGAGGAAGUAUUUCCCUGGGGUGGGUUUUGAGGAUUUAUAGCCUCAUCCUCCUUGCUGUUCCCUUGCUCUGCUUCCUGUGUGCAGGUGAAAAUGUCAUCACCCAGCUUCCUGUUUCUUCCACUGUGCACUUCCUGUCUUGGUGCAGUUGCUUUUGCUUAUAGGGUUUUGUCACAGCAACAAAAAGUAACCCAUACACACACACUCAAUAAAGAGCUGCCCCAGAGGUCUCAACUUCAGACACCAAUAGCUGUAACAGAGAAGCAUGGAUUAGAGGGCUUAUAGAAAGGGAGAGAGAGAGAGAGAGAGAGAGAGGGAGAGAGAGAGAGAGACUGGCAGAAGAUCGAGCCAAUCAACAUUCCAGUAGAGAUAGGGGAGGGCUCUGAGAGCAGUUGAAGACUACUGGGGCAGGAGUCAACCAUCAGAGUGUGGUCUCUGGAUGGUUGCCCAUGCUCCAGUAGAUAGCCCUACACCCACGCACAUGUGAGCAGUACUUAUUGGAUUCUGUGGGAUGUAAAAGGAGGACCAGGUGGAAGAGGGGUCUGGGAGGAGCAGGAAUCGACAAAUAAAUAUGAUCAAAAUGUAUGGAAUUCACAGUAACUUCUAUAUUUUUAUUUUUUUAAUCUUUCUUUAUUCUGUAUGUCUUUCUUUCCUUCUUACUCUGUGGCUGGGUGGCUGGUCCCUGGUGUCCUCCUCUCCUCCUUUUCUCUUCUCCUGGAUUUCUCCUCAUCUUUAUUCUCUCUGCCUGCCAGCCUUCCCUAUUUCUAUCUCCUACCUAGCUAUUGGCUGCUCAGCUCUUUAUUAGACCAAUCAGGUGUUUUAGACAAGCACAGUAACACAGCUUCUCAUUGUUAAACAAAUGCAACAUUAAAGAAUGCAACACAUCUUUACAUCAUUAAAUAAAUGUUCCACAGCACAAAUGUAACACACCUAUAAUAUUCUAACUAACAAAAUAAAUAUACAAUAAAAUUCUUAAACCAAUAGUCUUUUGCCUUAAAAGACUAAUAAUAAAAAAAAGACAAGCAGAAUCUCCAAGUAAAUAAGACACAGGAGCUAAUAAAAAUAACAGAACAGAAACCAAUGACACAAUGUUUCAAGGUAAGCCCACUAGAAACCAACACAUGGAAACUUUUUUCAAGAAAGGGGUUUCUCUAUGUAGCUUUGGAGCCUGUGGGCUGGCCUCCAACUCACAGAGAUCCUCCUGCCUCUGCCUCUCAAGUGCUGGAAUUAAAGGUAUGCUGCACCACUUCCCCACUCACAUGGAAACUUUUUUUUUUUUUUUUUUUUUUGGUUUUUCAAGACAGGGUUUCUCUGUGUAGCUUUGGAGCCUAUCCUGGCACUCGCUCUGGAGACCAGGCUGGCCUGGAACUCACAGAGAUCCGCCUGCCUCUGCCUCCCGAGUGCUGGGAUUAAAGGCUUGCACCACUAAUGCCCGGCACUUCUUCAACAUUCUUAAAAUAGCCCAACCCAAAAAAGGAAAAAUGGCAAGACUUCUUUAUUAUGAUACAAGAAACAAACAGAUUUUCUUCCUUAGUUCUCCAAACAUUUAGACUAACCAUCUCGUUAUCUGGUCUUGAGGGUUAAGAGUAACCACACCUUAGACCAAGUAUCUUGUUAUUUAGAUAAGACAUAACAUCCUACAGUAGCUAUACCUUAGACCUUUAGGUCUUAUGACUUUAACAUUGGAAUAGUAAGGAUAGUUUGAACUCUCUAACCAUAAGCCAAAAUGAAGUGAAGCCAUUUUUAUGGACCCUGACAAGGGAAGGGAGUGCACCCCAGAGGAGCUGUCUGUUGUCCUCACUGUUGUCCCAGAGAAGAUCCAAGACCCCCUCAAGGUUCCUGCCCUGUUUGAGUUCCUGUCCUGAUUUCUUUGAUGAAUGCUGUGAAAGUGAAUUCAGUACAGAUUACAAACAGUAGAAAUGCUAAUGUGUCUAAAAUUUCUUUUUGCAAACUCAAACUUGUAAGUUCCAGGAAGUUGACUCAGGUUCACGUCAAACAGGUCAGAUGCAUCCCUCCCUCAAUUACCAGGACCUAAAGAAAAAAACUUGUUUUUUCGAGGCAGGGUUUCUCUGUGGCUUUGGAGGCUGUCCUGCAACUAGCUCUUGUAGAUCAGGCUGGUCUCAAACUCACAAAGAUCUGCCUGCCUCUGCCUCCUGAGUGCUGGGAUUAAAGGCAUGCGCCACCACUGCUGGGCCAAAAAAAUUUUUUUUCCCCUUAAACUUAACCUUGUCCUCUGCUCUGCCAGUACCUCACCAGGUCCAAGAGACACCGGAUGCUUCCAUAGACCCUGGACAGCAGUUUAACAAACAUCUACUCCAGGGUGUGGCUAGUUCCCAGUUUUCUUAGGUCCCCCAAGAUGCCAGUGCCCCCAGACCAGCAGGAAGUAGUCUCAAGAGCUCUGUGUCCUCAUUACCCUAACCUGCCACACCUAACUCCUCAUCUUUUUACAUCCAGGCACACCUGGCCCUGCCCCUUGGGAACACAGCACGGUGUAUCAUCACCUCCCUGGGCUGCAGUGUGGGGAACACAGCACGGUGUCUCACCUCCCUGGGCUGCAGUGUGGGGAACACAGCACAGUGUAUCAUCACCUCCCUGGGCUGCAGUGUGGUCCUCUGCCUACUUCCUUCUUUUCUUCCUUUUUCUCCCCCCCCCCCCACCUCUGUGCAUCUGUCUCUUUCUCCCUCCAUCUCCUCACAAGGCCAUUCUGUGCUCUCUUCCCUUCUCCCUUCCCUUCUCCCAGUAAAACUUCCCAUGUAAGCUCUGUCUGCAUGGCAUGUUUGUCCCUCAACCUGCUGUGGUUUGGACUCAACCUGCUAUGGUCUCUCCAGUGCAAAAUCAUAACACCUGGUUCUGCAGAAGUCCUUAAAACAAAAAUGCAAACAAGCAUAGAAAAUGUCAUCAAUUGUGUGAAUUGUUUCUGGAGGACUGACUAGGAGGCUAUUCAAGAUCUCUGGGAGUGCUCACUAUUAAUUGUGGAGCCAUCUCUCCAGCCCUGAGAAGAAGACCUGAAGAGGAAAUAAAAGUGACUGCGGAUUCAGUUAUAUGGACCUAUACCUGUAGUAAGAUUGAAAAAAAAAACCAGGUACACAGACACACAGACACGACUAUAAAGCUGAGGUUCCCUGCAGCCUAAUGGCUUGGAUGAAAUUCAAUCCUGAGCCCGCCCUUCACAUAAGCUGAGCCAGUGUUGACUGUGCAACUCAAAUGUUAAUUAUAUCUUUCAGUGGCUUUUGAAUAACUGUGACUAAAUUCUACAUCUAAGGCACAUUUGAAGGACAUAUAUAAUCCACACUGAACCACAAACCAUCAGCUGGUCUACUGCAAGGAACAGCCUCCUGGGUUUCCUGAACAUCUCCCAGGUUCUUCAGAGUGAGCCCAAUGCCUUCUGCUCCAGACAUCUUACCAGUCAUCUUACGAGCCACCGAGCCAACAACCCCAGAGCCUGGCUCUGUAUGUGCCAGCAGCCUUCUGUUUGUGAAAGCUAGAAGUUUUAGUCUGUGGGGAGAUAAACUUUGUCUACAGUCCCUGGAAACCACUUUCAAACUUACAAUAAAAUUGGUGGCAAUCUGAGGAGAGUGGAUGAAAUCCCCUUUGGUUGCAGUGACAAAAUAUUGCCAGUUAGGUUGCUUAAAAUGAUGGAAAUUGCUUCUUAGGAAUCUAAAGGAUCAAAGUAUGAAACCUGAGGGGUUGGCAGAACCACGCUGUCUCUGAAGUGUUAUGAGGAGUACAUCUUCUCACCUCUUCCUGCUUCACACGGUCCCAGGACCACCUUAGUCUCCGUCUCACUGGCCAUCUUCCAUCAUGUCUGUGUCUUCUCUCCUCUUAGAAGGUCACCACUCACACUGGCUUGGGAAUCACUAUAUACGACUUCAUCUUAAUGAAUUAUGCCUGCAGCAGAAUUCUAACUAAGAGCGUUCUGACAGGGAUUGAACUUCCACAGGCCAUUUUGGUGGGAACACAAGUCAAAUCACAAUGAAAUGAGAAGUUCACAGUGGCUGCAAAGCCUAGACAGGUCCUCUCAGUUCCUGGCUAAGUUAGCCACACAUGGCUGUCACACAUGGCUUCCUCCAAGGAUUUGGAACUGGCCCAUUUCACUUUCCCGUCUAGCACCCAGUGAAUUCCAUGUCUCAGGAGGUACACUGACUGCUUUCAGCCCCUGCUGAGAGGGCAAGAUUCCUUCCCAGUACAAGUCAGAGGUCCUUAC